rnacentral:rRNA from 1 species
AGUGAACGCUGGCGGCGUGCUUAACACAUGCAAGUCGAACGAGAACGGGAUAUAGCUUGCUAUAUUUGUCAGCUAAGUGGCGCACGGGUGAGUAAUGUAUAGAUAACCUGCCCUCUAGAAAGGAAUAACAGUUGGAAACGACUGCUAAUGCCCUAUAUGCUUUUAAUACAUAAGUAUGCAAGGGAACGGCUUUAGUGCUAGAGGAUGGGUCUGUGUGGUAUCAGCUUGUUGGUGAGGUAAUGGCUCACCAAGGCUAUGACGCCUAACUGGUUUGAGAGGAUGAUCAGUCACACUGGAACUGAGACGCGGUCCAGACUCCUACGGGAGGCAGCAGUGGGGAAUAUUGCACAAUGGACGAAAGUCUGAUGCAGCAACGCCGCGUGGAGGAUGACACAUUUCGGUGCGUAAACUCCUUUUAUAUAGGAAGAUAAUGACGGUACUUUAUGAAUAAGCACCGGCUAACUCCGUGCCAGCCGCCGCCGUAACAC